UACAGCCAUAUCACAUUGAAACACCGGUCCCUUAUGAUCACUAAAGUUAAGCAAUGUUGAGCCUGGUCAGUACCUAGAUUAAUGACCCCUUGGAAAUACCAGGUGCUGUAA